rnacentral:pre_miRNA from 1 species
CUCCAAUGAACAUUCAACGCUGUCGGUGAGUUUGGGAUUUGAAAAAACCACCGACCGUUGACUGUACCUUAGGG